GGCAGAACAUGUGUGCGCCACGGAGCGGCUGCGUGCAGCCCGCAGGUUAGAAACCCAUUUUUGGAGCAAGCAAGCAGACUGAAUGGAAGUGGUGCUCCUUGAAGAUGGGAGAGAGAGCUGGAGCUCAUCUGUCCUGGCAUCAGAGAACCGUGACUCCGGAGGGUGGGAGAGGCAGGCCCGAGUCAUCUCUGCCCUGGGGCCCCAGUGAGUGAAGCAGCUGCCUCUGUGGCUGCCGACGCUGGCUACGCACAGCAAGGG
rnacentral:lncRNA from 1 species